rnacentral:ncRNA from 2 species
CAUAUGGUGUGUCUCGCUGGUCCGGGUCCCGUGCACACGGGACCCGGGGCAAGAGGGAACCCGGUGCGAGUCCGGGACUGCCCCGCAGCGGUGAGUGGAAACGACAGUCGUCACCAAGCACUGCACGCCUCGGCGUGUGGGAAGCGACGGCCAGUAGGUGUCUCGCCGGGUCCCAGGACCGUCCACGGACGGUCGGGGGAGCCGGCAACGACGGGUCCACGAGUCCGAAGACCUGCCAGCGGCCGCGCACACCG